UGGGGAAUUUUGGACAAUGGGCGGAAGCCUGAUCCAGCCAUUCCGCGUGAGUGAAGAAGGCCUUCGGGUUGUAAAGCUCUUUCGGCAGGGAAGAAAAGGGUGGUGCGAAUAACACUGCCUGCUGACGGUACCUGAAGAAGAAGCACCGGCUAACUACGUGCCAGCAGCCGCGGUAAUACGUAGGGUGCGAGCGUUAAUCGGAAUUACUGGGCGUAAAGCGUGCGCAGGCGGUUCUAUAAGACAGAUGUGAAAUCCCCGGGCUUAACCUGGGAACUGCGUUUGUGACUGUAGGACUAGAGUGUAGCAGAGGGGGGUGGAAUUCCACGUGUAGCAGUGAAAUGCGUAGAUAUGUGGAGGAACAUCGAUGGCGAAGGCAGCCCCCUGGGUUAACACUGACGCUCAUGCACGAAAGCGUGGGGAGCAAACAGG
rnacentral:rRNA from 1 species